rnacentral:rRNA from 1 species
AAAAUCCGGAAGCUUACUGAGUGGAUACUUUCAGUAAUUCUGGAGCUAAUACAUGUUCGCACGGGCAACCGUGUCAUUUAUUAGAAUCACCAACCGCUUCGGCGUAUAGUGAUGACUCUGAAUAUCUCGCAGACCGCAUGCGAAAGCGGCGGCGAUUCACGUAAUUAACUGCCCUAUCAACUUUUGAUGGUAGUUUCGUUGUCUACCAUGGUGAUAACGGGUAACGGAGGAUAAGGGUUUGACUCCGGAGAGGAUGCCUUAGAAACGGCAACCACAUCUAAGGAAGGCAGCAGGCGCGCAAAUUACCCACUCUCAAUUCGAGGAGGUAGUGACAACAACUAACGAGACUGCGUCCUAUGGGCGCAGUCAUCGAAAUGGGUACAAUUUAAACCCUUUAACGAGGAUCUAUGAGAGGGCAAGUCUGGUGCCAGCAGCCGCGGUAAUUCCAGCUCUCAAAGUGUAUGUCAUUAUUGCUGCGGUUAAAAAGCUCGUAGUUGGAUCUGAGCCCGUGGAUACAGUUCACCUCUGUGUGAUACUGUCAUCCUGGGUUAAUUUCGUCGGUCUUCCGGCGAGAGUUACUCUGAACAAAUCGGAGUGCUCAAAACAAGCGUUUCGCUUGAACGUUUUUGCAUGGAAUAAUGGAAAAGGACUUCGGUUCCUUACUGUUGGUUUCGGAAUUGGAUUAAUGAUUAAGAGGGACCAACGGGGGCAUACGUAUCGCUGCGCGAGAGGUGAAAUUCAUGGACCGCAGCGAGACGACCUACAGCGAAAGCAUUUGCCAAGAAUGUCUUCAUUAAUCAAGAACGAAAGUCAGAGGUUCGAAGGCGAUCAAAAACCCCCCCCAAAGCA